UGCCAAAUCGUCCUCCCCAUGCUAUUGUAGUUUGGGAAUCGAAGCUUUGAGGUGGAGCUCGAAUUCACAAUGCAUCUCGAAUUGUGGGGAUUCUGCUUUAACAGGAGACGAUGAACACUUCGGUUGUUGUUAAUGGGAGCAGUUUGAUGGAAUCAGAGCAUUGAUUUCUGCCCUGGAGGUGAUGACAUCGGAGUAGGAGCACGGGCGGGUGUGCUGGAACUGUGAUGUUCACUGCUUUAUGUGUUCGAAGGGAUUCCUGACGGGUUUCCCUUUUCGGUUUCGUUGCGUUGCGUCCCUCUCCACCCUUCAUUUCUUCGUGAGAGCUUUAAUGGAGUAGAGAGGAGAGUAUUUUAGGUCUCGGCCAUGGGCGAUGCGGGAGGAGUGGCAGCUCCGGCGCCGAUCAAGCGGCUUGAAGAGGCCGUGGUAAACAGGAUUGCAGCAGGGGAGGUCAUUCAGAGACCCGCGUCUGCAUUGAAAGAGCUUCUGGAGAAUAGUUUGGAUGCGGGUGCGACUAGCAUCGGCAUCACCAUCAAGGACGGGGGCCUCAAGCUCAUUCAAAUUGUUGACAACGGCCAUGGCAUUCGGUAUGAAGACUUGCCUCUUCUUUGUGAGCGGCACGCAACAUCGAAAUUGCAAGUGUUCGAGGAUCUGGAAGUCAUUAGUACUCUAGGUUUUAGAGGUGAAGCAUUGGCCAGCAUCACAUUUGUGGCUCACCUUAGUGUCAUCACCAUGACGGAAGGCCAAGCGCACGGAUACAAGGCAACGUAUAAGGAUGGGCAGAUGCAAGCAGAAGCUCGUCCGUGUGCAGCCGUGAAAGGAACACAAAUCACGGUAGAGAAUCUAUUCUACAAUGUGGCUGCUCGGAGGAAGGCUUUCAAGAACCCCAAUGAAGAAUAUGGUCGCAUACUAGACGUGGUGAGCCGAUAUGCGAUCCACAAAAUUGGUAUCAGCUUCUCGUGUAAAAAGCAUGGCGACAGUCGAGCAGACGUACAUACGGUGGGAUCAUCCUCACGAACAGAUACUAUCAGGGCUGUUUAUGGGCCUGGAGUAGCACGGGAGCUUAUUGCAAUUUCAGCAUCAGAUGACAGUCCACAAGGCUCCACUUUCCAGAUGGAUGGUCUAAUUUCCAGUGCUAACUAUAGCUCAAAGCGGUCAAGUAUGGUUUUGUUUAUUAACGAUCGACUGGUAGAGUGUACCGCAUUGAGGAAAGCUAUUGAGUUAGUAUAUGCAACGAUCUUGCCGAAGGCUUCAAAGCCCUUUAUCUACAUGUCUAUACAUUUACCUCCCGAACAUGUUGAUGUCAAUGUGCAUCCAACCAAGCGUGAGGUGAGCUUUUUGAACCAAGAAAGCUUAGUUGAUACCAUACAACAAGCCGUGGAGGCCAAGCUGUUGGAAUCGAACAACAGUCGGACGUUUUCUACACAGACGUUACUUCCAGGAGCAUCCAUAGCGAUUAUUCCAAGGGAAGAAAGCAGCCCUUCUCCAUCACCACCAGUGAUUACCCCUCAAAAAGCUCCUGUUAACAAGAAGGUGCGAGUAGACUCCUUGAACCCACAGGGCAGACUGCACGCCUUCAUGCACAAGAAAAGAAGCGUUACCGAUGAACCCUCACAGAUGGAAAAUGACCUGGCGAAAACCAGGCGUACAGUCAGACAGCGCCGAAACCCUAAAGAGAGUGCUGACCUUACUAGUGUCCAGGAGCUGCUCGCUGCCAUUGAUCGUCAGACUCAUUCAGGAAUGUUAGAGAUCAUCAAGCAGUGUAUUUACAUAGGCAUGGCGGAUGAUGUGUUAGCUUUAGCACAGUGUAAGACCCGGCUGUAUGUACUGAAUGUUGUCAAUCUCAGUAAGGAGCUGAUUUACCAGCAAGUCCUUCGACGUUUUGCACAUUUCAAUGUCAUGCAUCUGAGCACCUCCGCUCCUUUAAUGGAACUUCUUAUGAUAGCGCUGGAUGAAGAAGAGCGCAUGGGACGGUGGUGUGAGUCUGAUGGGCCAAAGGGUCAGAUUGCUCAGUUAAAUGUGGAAUUGCUGAUGUGCAAAGCAGAAAUGCUCAAAGAAUACUUCUCUAUAGAGAUCGAUGAGUCGGGAAAUCUCUGCACAUUACCUGUGGUUUUAGAUCAGUACACUCCAGAUAUGGAUCGGCUACCGAGUUUUGUUUUGAAUCUUGGCAACAAUGUUGACUGGGAAUCUGAGAAGGAGUGUUUUGAAACCCUUGCGGCUGCCAUGGCCGACUUUUAUGCGAUGCAUCCACCUUUUUUGCCAAACCCGAACGAAAAUGAGCAUUCUCAAACCUAUUGUGUUAGCAAAUCCAAGCAGGCCGCAACUGAUGAGGGAUCAGAAGAACAAGCUGGAGGCUCUGACAUUGAUAUGCGAGCCGAGGCUGAAACUGCUUGGGCGCACAGAGAGUGGUCUAUCCAGCACGUGUUGUUUCCAGCGAUGAAGCUUUUUCUAAAGCCUCCAAUGCAUAUGGCCAAUGAUGGUACUGCUGUUCAGUUAGCGUGCCUUGAGAAUCUCUACAAAAUAUUUGAACGUUGCUAAGAAACAUUUCGAGGACUUGCGGCUCACAUCAUUCCCAUGCUCAAAAUAUUGCUGGCACAUUGUGAACAGGAGGAUGAACUAAUUCCUGUUCACCAUGAUUUUUCUGCUGCUCAAUUUGAAGGGCAUCGUCUGAGAUUGGACUGUUGAGACAUGAACUGCAAUCAAGAUGAGGAACAUGGAUGCAAGAGAUCCCAACAGAAUUCCUUGCACGAGGAGGCUCUGUCGCUUAAGAAAAACUCUUUUUCAACAAAUCGAAGGGCUUCCUCAACCUUCCUCCCCUUCCACAGUUUCGCUUUAUACCACCAUCUUCAAGUUCAUCGUUUUCUACGAACGAGGUCUCUCCUUGAAGCCGGCCAUUUGGGAGAUCAUGAGAACCCCUUCCUCAGUGUAGACUAUUGCAAACACCGCCAUGACAAGAAUAGGCGGUGCAGAUGUGAAGAGACAGUAGAACAGUAUGAGCACAGGAUGAGCAGUUUGUGCCUGUGAACACCAUCAAAAAAAAUGUAGUCGUUAAGAUGGACGGAUUUCCAAUUGAAAUGUAAUAUUCCGAACAUUAUUCUUCCACGGCCAUCAUGCUCGGGGUACAUUACUUGA